rnacentral:rRNA from 1 species
CCUACGGGAGGCAGCAGUGGGGAAUAUUGCACAAUGGGGGAAACCCUGAUGCAGCGACGCCGCGUGAAGGAUGAAGUAUUUCGGUAUGUAAACUUCUAUCAGCAAGGAAGAAAAUGACGGUACUUGACUAAGAAGCCCCGGCUAAAUACGUGCCAGCAGCCGCGGUAAU